rnacentral:rRNA from 1 species
CCUUGUACACACCGCCCGCCACGUCAUGGGAGUCGGUAACACCUGAAGUCGGUGAGCUAACCCGCAAGGGGGGCAGCCGCCCAAGGUGGGACUAGCGACUGGGACG